UUUAGUUCCGUUGUAAUAUUGCAGACCUAUUCUAUCAUAUUUACAAUGAGGUAAUGCACCUACAGAUGUUAUAAUUAAAUGUACUUCAUUUUCCUGGAACAACUAAAUCAUGCCUUCGAGCCGCUCGGAGAGGUUAGUGAGUCGCGCAUGGAAUUAAGUUGCCAUGGUAAAAAAAUAAACAAGAGUUAUCAAUUCACAUUUCAACAACACAUACAUACAUUCAUUGAGACAUUACUUGCUACAACAAACCACGUUUUUUUUGUAGUUAUCAAAGUAUCACAAUGAUUCCUCCAGCUGAUUCUCUGCUGAAAUAUGACAACCCAGUCUUGGUGAGCAGAAACAUAAAAUAAGUCACCAAAGGUAGAGUAACGUUAACAAAACGUGUUUAAUGCUGGCUGCGAACGUUACUUACAGUAGCUGCAGGUAGCUAAAUGUAUCCAUAUAGUGGUAUCUAACAUACAUUAUUACAUCCACAGGCAUUAUUUUGAAAUCAAUAUCAUGCCAAUGUUCCUAGUGAGCGGUGAGAGAUGUCAAACAAUUGUCUUUGCUUUUUUUCAACAUCAAAUUGGCUGAAGAUGGAUAUUCUUCUAAUCUCAAUGAGUACUGCAAAUUCAGGCACAGCCUCAAAGUGGCCCCACAACAGCCUGCCAUGACUGGACCUGUGUCACCUCCACCCAAACCCAAGACCCCCUCAGCCAAUGCCAACAAACCGAGGAGAUCCUCAAUGCCAUCCUACCACCCCGGGAAUGUAUGGAGACCAACCAGCUGUGGGCGCAGCAGGUGUCUAGCACGCUGUGUACCCGCAUGGAUGUGGUGCACCUAUAGAAUCAGCUGGACCUGAAGCUGCAGCAGACAGGCCAUGGAGACUGACAUCUGCCCAGUCCUCAGGGAGCUCUACUCCCGGUGCUUCGAUCUCCGAUGUGUAGAACGAGAAGCGGGACCUAGAGAGACAGGUUAACGAGCAGAAGGCCAAGACUGAGGCCAUUGAGAAGAGGGAGACAGAGAAGGCAGUUGGAGAAGAAACACACAGAGGAGAUUUAGUUCCUGAAGAGAACCAACCAGCAGCUCAAGAGAAUUUGGCAGUACGUCCAACCGGCCUCACAACUGCAGACCACGUGUAACCACGCCAGCCCAGGUCCUCCACAUUCGGCUUCUUCACCUGCGGGAUCUUCUGAAACCAGCAAACCAGACAGCUUAUGAAACUGUGGGUUUGCACAACUGAAUAAUUUUUGCACAAACGGUCAGCUUAUCUGCAUGCUUGUUGUCCUCACCAGGGUCUUGACCUGACUGCAGUUCAGCGUCGUAACGAACUUUAGUGGGCAAAUGCUCACCUUUGAUGGGCACUGGCACGCUGAAGAAGGGUGCGCUUCACAGAUUAAUCCCAGUUUCAACUGUAUCUGUGACGAACAGAUGCAUAUCUGUUUUCCCAGUCAUGUGAAAUCCAUAGAUUAGGGCCUACUGAAUUUAUUUGAAUUGACGGAUUUCCUUAUAUGGACUAUAACUCAGUAAAUAUUUGAAAUUGUUACAUAUUGUUUAUACUUUCGUCCAGUGCCUUCAGGAAGUAUUCAGAACCCUUGACUUUCCAUUUUAUUAGGUUACAACUUUUUUCUGAAAUAUUUAUUUUCCAUCAAUCUACACACAAUACCCCAUAAUGCUUAUUUACAUAAGUAUUCAGGCCCCUUAAUCAGUACUUUGUUGCAGCACCUUUGGCAGCGAUUACAGCCUCGAGUCUUCUUGGUUGACACCACAAGCUUGGCACACCUGUAUUUGGAGUUUCUCCCAUUCUUCUCUGCAGAUCCUCUCAAGCUGUCUCAGGUUUGAUGGGGACCGUUGCUGCACAGCUAUUUUCAGGUCUCUCCAGAGAUGUUCGAUCAGGUUCAAGUCCGGCCCCUCAAGGACAUUGAGUCUUGUUUGGCAUUCGCCAAACCCAGGUUUGUCUGUUGAAGCUGUCCCCAGUCC